GACGAACGCUGGCGGCGUGCCUAUUACAUGCAAGUUGAGCGCUGAAGGUUGGUACUUGUACCGACUGGAUGAGCAGCGAACGGGUGAGUAACGCGUGGGGAAUCUGCCUUUGAGCGGGGGACAACAUUUGGAAACGAAUGCUAAUACCGCAUAAAAACUUUAAACACAAGUUUUAAGUUUGAAAGAUGCAAUUGCAUCACUCAAAGAUGAUCCCGCGUUGUAUUAGCUAGUUGGUGAGGUAAAGGCUCACCAAGGCGAUGAUACAUAGCCGACCUGAGAGGGUGAUCGGCCACAUUGGGACUGAGACACGGCCCAAACUCCUACGGGAGGCAGCAGUAGGGAAUCUUCGGCAAUGGACGAAAGUCUGACCGAGCAACGCCGCGUGAGUGAAGAAGGUUUUCGGAUCGUAAAACUCUGUUGGUAGAGAAGAACGUUGGUGAGAGUGGAAAGCUCAUCAAGUGACGGUAACUACCCAGAAAGGGACGGCUAACUACGUG
rnacentral:rRNA from 1 species